UGAGGAAUAUUGGUCAAUGGACGAGAGUCUGAACCAGCCAAGUAGCGUGAAGGAUGACUGCCCUAUGGGUUGUAAACUUCUUUUAUACGGGAAUAAAGUGAGGCACGUGUGCCUUUUUGUAUGUACCGUAUGAAUAAGGAUCGGCUAA
rnacentral:rRNA from 1 species